rnacentral:lncRNA from 1 species
CAGAUCCAUGUCACGUAUGAAGCAGGAAGAAGUGGGAUAGUUAUGUGGUUAAGGACAGCUGGAGCCGCAUUCAGAGAGCCCUGAGAGGGUUUGUCUCCCUCAGCGGCACAGGGAACCAGAAUCAGGCAGAGGAGGGGGCAGAGGCUUGAGCAUCACUUCCCUCUGACUGGAGAUGCCACUGUAGUCGCAAUGCCAAAGCCUUGGUUCGAAGGUUUCAUGAG